rnacentral:rRNA from 1 species
CUUGGCGACCAUAGCACUUUGGACCCACCUGAUUUCCAUUCCGAACUCAGAAGUGAAACGAAGUAGCGUCGAUGGUAGUGUGGGGC